AAGUGAGCAAUUCAUCAACCUUGACACAAGAAGAAGAAGCGUUGUCAAGUUCUCCAACCCCUAAUCCGGGCCCUCCGAUGUUCGCAAACGCUUUUAGACAUCUAGCUGCAGCUACUCUAACAAUAGAUGAUUUGUCCACGAUACCGAUUCGCAUAAUGAAAGAAUUAAAGUUCAGACAUCUAGCUGCAGCUACUCUAACAAUAGAUGAUUUGUCCACGAUACCGAUUCGCAUAAUGAUACGAAAUGCAUCAGUAUACGCUGAGGCAGCAGCAGCGCCCCCACAGCCUUCUAAAGCAUUUUGAAGCAUCUGUAAAGCUUCUU
rnacentral:lncRNA from 1 species